UCCUGGCGGGGGAGAGAGUUUUAAAGAAGCUUAACUUCGUCCUCUCUGUUUUUUUCACAACGGACAGUUUUAAACCCUGACGUUAUGUCAUUGCCCAAAUGCUCCCAGUCCCGAUGUUUACGCAGCACAUGUCCACACACCCUCUAAAGGAAAUCGCUUCCCUGCGAAAUCAAUUAGCACACAAUGGGGAAUCAAGAUAAACCUCUCCUUGCCCAGCAAGUUUUGCAGGGAGAGCUCAAAAUCUGGGCGGACUUCAGGGACAAGGAAUGCAAACUAUGAAGUCACGUGGGGAAGAGCAGGUUAUGUCGCUUUGACCUGGAGGGGUGCGGAGCGGAAGAUGGGGUCCCAAGGGGUCCUCUCUGUUCUGACUGCAUAAGGCAGAGCUGUUCCGCAGGAGAAUACGGUGAGGACCAGAGUUGCGUGAAACCAUGACGGGCUCACGGUCUGUCCCAUUCUGCCGGGACGGGACAAUCGCGCUAGCUCAGGGGGGGAAGGCAGCCCUCGCUCAGGGCAUCGCCUGAGUAGACUUCUCUGAGGGAGCAGUCCCAAAGGUGCUCGAAGUCCACAUACAAGUGGCCCUCCCUGCUCUCUCCUUUGGCUCAGCGGCUCCCUCGGGCAGAGCCUCCCAUGAGUGUUCACGUGGUACUGGAUUCUUAACUGGAACCAGUGCUGAUGAUGAAACGGGCCAAAUGUCACAGCCAAUGCUAGGUGGGGGAGAACCAGCUCAUUCGGGCCCCCACCUGGAGAUCAACAACUCUGAGGGGUCCUGUGGUCUGAAGUCAGAGAGCCACCAGACACCCAGGCUCCCUAAAGCCAGGAGAUGACCGUGUCCUGGGCUGUCAUUAAUUUCUGCCCGCCCAGCAUCCGCCAGUUUCCCCCUCAGACCGGUUUCUUUGGCUGCUCCGCCCACUUACUUUGCUUUGUUUAUAAAGUGGUACGCCUCGUUCCAGUGGGCAAGAAGGUCUGUUGUCUCUUCAUCAUAGACGCGGAUGUUGUGAUAUGCAAAUAAGCCAGGGAAGAAAUUAUCUAUUUCUCUAGUGACAUUUAAGAUGUAGUCAACACUGCAAUGACAAAAAAGAAAAAAAAGAAACACAUUUGGAGAACCAGAAUGAGGAGCUACGAAAAACAAAAUAACCAAAAAUUGAACAGAGAAAAAAAUCAAGUGACCACUUGUUCUGACCGAUGGCACACGUGCUUUCUGAGCAGCACUUCAGAACGUAGGAAGAAGUGGAAAAUCGGGUCUCUGAAUGGUCUGCCUCAAAACAAGAAAAGUUCUAUUGGGACGGUCUCCACAAAUUACCCGAAAGAUGGGGGGAAAUGUGUAGCUAGCGGUGGACAUUACUGUGAAUAAAGCACUUUUGAUGUUUCCCUUGAAAUUAUCCUGUUCUCUUUGGUUACAAAAUCUGCAUUUUUAAUCGGUAUCUGCAUUUUCAACCGGUCUGGUGAAUAAAGCGGGUGGGUUAAUACUUCCCAGGCAAGAUCUUUUAACGUGUCUUUAACUGGUUUUGAAGUGUGUGAUGGUGCAUCAUGAAGCAAAAUUACUUUGCUGUGUCUUCUGGCCCAUUCUGGCCAUUUUA